CUUCGGAAGUAAGGUCCCUUGAAGAUAACGAGGUAGAUAGGUUGGAGGUGUAAGCAUGGUAACAUGUUCAGCUGACCAAUACUAAUAGACCGAGGGCUUGACCAA
rfam:[Clostridium] neopropionicum strain DSM-3847 CLNEO_contig000011, whole genome shotgun sequence.